GGGCCCGCACAAGCGGUGGAGCAUGUGGUUUAAUUCGAUGAUACGCGAGGAACCUUACCAGGGCUUAAAUGUAAGUUGCAUUAGCUAGAGAUAGCUAUUUCUUCGGACUACUUACAAGGUGCUGCAUGGUUGUCGUCAGCUCGUGCCGUGAGGUGUCAGGUUAAGUCCUAUAACGAGCGCAACCCCUGUUGUUAGUUGCCAGCGAGUAAUGUCGGGAACUCUAACAAGACUGCCGGUGCAAACCGUGAGGAAGGUGGGGAUGACGUCAAAUCAUCACGGCCCUUACGUCCUGGGCUACACACGUGCUACAAUGGUCGGUACAGAGAGCAGCCACUACGCGAGUAGGAGCGAAUCUAUAAAACCGAUCACAGUUCGGAUCGGAGUCUGCAACUCGACUCCGUGAAGCUGGAAUC
rnacentral:rRNA from 1 species